rnacentral:rRNA from 1 species
UACAGAGGUGGCAAGCGUUGUUCGGAUUCAUUGGGCGUAAAGGGUCCGUAGGCGGCCUGGAAAGUCGGAUGUGAAAUCCCACGGCUCAACCGUGGAAUUGCAUUCGAAACUUCCAGGCUCGAGCGCAGAAGGAGUGAAGGGAAUUCCCGGUGUAAGGGUGAAAUCUGCAGAGAUCGGGAGGAACACCAGUCGCGAAGGCGCUUCACUAGUCUGCCGCUGACGCUCAGGGACGAAAGCCAGGGGAGCAAACGGG